UACGAAGGGGGCUAGCGUUGUUCGGAAUUACUGGGCGUAAAGGGCGCGUAGGCGGGAUGGCAAGUCGGUCGUGAAAUCCUUCGGCUCAACCGAAGAACGUCGGCCGAUACUGCCGUUCUUGAGGGAUGCAGAGGAGAUUGGAAUUCCCGGUGUAGCGGUGAAAUGUGUAGAGAUCGGGAGGAACACCGGUGGCGAAGGCGGGUCUCUGGGCAUCUCCUGACGCUGAGGCGCGAAAGCGUGGGGAGCAAACGGG
rnacentral:rRNA from 1 species